CAGUCGCCGCGGGAAUACAGAGGAUGCAAGCGUUAUCCGGAAUGAUUGGGCGUAAAGCGUCUGUAGGUGGCUUUUCAAGUCCGCCGUCAAAUCCCAGGGCUCAACCCUGGACAGGCGGUGGAAACUACCAAGCUGGAGUACGGUAGGGGCAGAGGGAAUUUCCGGUGGAGCGGUGAAACGCGUCGAGAUCGGAAAGAACACCAACGGCGAAAACACUCUGCUGGGCCGACACUGACACUGAGAGACGAAAGCUAGGGGAGCAAAUGGGAUUAGAUACCCCCGUAGUCCCUGUCUCUUAUAC
rnacentral:rRNA from 1 species